UGUCAUUUUAUAAUUGGUUCCUUAUCCUGAAACUUAUGAUAUUAGUUUUGAUUAAGGAAAUCAUUAAUUUACAGCUUUGACUAUAUUGAACGUGAUUGCCGAGCUUGUGGCCUUGGUUGCAAUUUUGAAUUUCAGAGGUUAAUGGAAUGCAUGUGGGUGACAGAUGAUGAAAUAUGCUCUUGUGCCGAGGAGUAUCUUACAGUCCACAAACUGUUUACCACCCGGGCUGAUCUCUAUCAAACAGUAUAUACGCAUGCAAAAGUUAAGGU